rnacentral:misc_RNA from 1 species
AGAAGUAAAAGUCGUAACAAGGUUUCCGUAGGUGAGCCUGCGGAAGGAUCAUUAAUGAGUUGUCAUGGGGUUCGAUGCUGGCAGCCAGUUUUUGGAUGCAUGUGCUUGCCCUAACAAUCAUCUUCUUCCAAACACCUGUGCACAUUUUUGAGGGAGUCUUGAGUUGGUUGCCGCUCUUGGGUGAUUUUCUCACAUUCCCUUAAAUCAUUAUACGCUAUUAACAAUGUUGAACGUGCUCUGUGCCGCAAGGCCAUUAAUAUAAUACAACUUUUAACAACGGAUCUCUUGGCUCUC